GGUUUUACACUUUGAAAAUGAGUCUCACAUAAGUAAUAAAACUCAUUAUGAAGGUGUUGGAAUUGGUGGACGAUAUUAAAGUGGUGUCUUGGCGGUGGUGUUUAACUCAUUUAAAAAUCCCAUCUUACCUUUUCUACUAAUGGAAUUGAAACCCAAUGGCUUGUGUUGUGAGAAAGUGGAUGUUGGUUGUGGAGUAUGUUGCUUUAUGGACAACCAAACACAUAAUACAAUCAAUUGAAUGUAGCACGAAAAACUACAAAAAACUACUAUCCAAUAAACACUGUUCAUGAGUACAUAACAAUCAUAGAAAAUCAAUCAACAUAAAAACAUCAAAGCAAACACUUAAAGCAAUAAAAUAACAGCAAAGUUCAAGAUUAUUGAAUAAUCCUAAAUAAUCAUUUGUCAAACCCUAACAAUAAAGUUUACACAAUCAACAUAAAUUCAAUAUCAAUGUCAUACCCCAAUUUUUGUCGUUGGAUCCUGAUCAGUCUUUAAAUUUUCAGAAAAAUUCGGAAGAGAAGUAAUUUAAAAUACCUCAUUUUUGGUUCUGAGUCGGGCCCUCUUCUCUCAUUUAAUUUUUUGUUUUAGUUGAAAUUUCCAUCUUUUAUUCUUUUAAAAAAAAACCAUUUAAUUUUUGUUUUAUUCUAUAUUAGUCUUUAUUUAUUUGUUUAUUUAAUUAUUCCAUUUUUUUAAGAUAAGUCCAAAAGUCAAUUCUGCAUUUCUUUUUAUUUUUUAUUUUUUAUUUUUCAUUUAUUAUCUUAUUCUUUUGUUAUUAUUCGAUGAAUCCAAAAAAACCUGUCACGGCAUUCAUCCCAAUCCAAUUCUAAACAGCCUGUCACAUUAACUUGUUCCAAUCCAACCCUAUCUGCAACAAAACCAGGAACAAAAGUGUGUUGCCCCUUCCCCAAUUCAAACAUUUUUCCAGUACAAUCUAGUACUAUAAAACCCAAACACCUAAACCUGCAAAAGACAACCAUUUUCAGCCAGAGAAACACACAUGAAAUUCUAGAAUUGCACAUCACAGAGGAGCAGAGAACCGCAACCGUUCCUACACCGACGACCAGCAAGCAACCAGAAUCCGAACCUGUAUCAGUCAACACACACGUAGCAAAAGGUCCAGUCUGGCACACAACACAAGCCAGAAUGUAAAUAACACAAAACUAAUCAAACAUUAAUUUCUACCCCGAACUACGAGGUUUUGAUCCCUCACGGGUAUGUAGGCAAAGGACACUCGUCCUUUCAAAUCAUAAAAAUGUAAAUAAAAUAAGCCUCUUUUCCCUUUUUAUCACUUUAAAUUCUAUUUUCAAAAAUAAACAAGUCAUAGAACAAAACGUUAAAUAAAACCAAGAGGUUCCCGUAGAGUACUACACACAAAAGGGUGCUAAUACCUUCCCUUUAUGUAACUAACCCCCGAACCCUAAAUCUUUUCAAAAUGGGGUAGUUUGAACCUCUUUUUCCCCUUUUCUAAAAAAAAUAAAUGUUCAGUCGUGAAAUAAAUUAGCGAGUCAAAAACUAAUCAAAUAGCCUUGAUCUCCAAAAAAUGACGCGACAAUCAACAAGGUGAUAAUAGAUGUUAACUCUCAUUACAAUAAUAAACAAAUGAAACAAAUAAGUUUAAAAUCAUAAAAUUAGAAAAGGGUUUACCUCUUAGAAGAUCACCACCAAUGGAGGAAGAGAGAAAAUAGUAAAGGAAUAAGAAGAUUAGAGACACAAGUAACAAAGAGGAGGAAGUUUUGUUUUGAAACAAGGAUGUGGAAGUGGUUGAUUUUUUUAUGUGGUUGAAACAGAGAGGGAGUUUGUUUGUUCACCGUGAGAAAGAAAGAAAGAAAACGUGUUCUAUAAUUGUGAAUUGUG
rnacentral:lncRNA from 1 species